rnacentral:rRNA from 1 species
UACGUAGGGGGCAAGCGUUGUCCGGAUUUAUUGGGCGUAAAGAGCGUGUAGGCGGCCAUACAGGUCAGCUGUGAAAACUCGAGGCUCAACCUCGAGACGUCGGUUGAAACCGUUUGGCUAGAGUCCGGAAGAGGAGAGUGGAAUUCCGUGGUGUAGCGGUGAAAUGCGCAGAUAUCAGAGGAACACCGGUGGCGAAGGCGGUCUCUGGCCUUACCUGACGCUGAGGAGCGAAGCGUGGGAGCGAACAGG